rnacentral:rRNA from 1 species
GACGAACGCUGGCGGCGUGCUUAACACAUGCAAGUCGAACGGAAAGGCCCUGCUUUUGUGGGGUGCUCGAGUGGCGAACGGGUGAGUAACACGUGAGUAACCUGCCCUUGACUUUGGGAUAACUUCAGGAAACUGGGGCUAAUACCGGAUAGGAGCUCCUGCUGCAUGGUGGGGGUUGGAAAGUUUCGGCGGUUGGGGAUGGACUCGCGGCUUAUCAGCUUGUUGGUGGGGUAGUGGCUUACCAAGGCUUUGACGGGUAGCCGGCCUGGGAGGGUGACCGGCCACAUUGGGACUGCGAGACGGCCCAGACGCCUACGGGCGGCAGCAGUGGGGAAUAUGGCACAAUGGGCGGAAGCGUGAUACAGCAGCGCCGCGUGCGGGAUGACGGCCUUCGGGUUGUAAACCGCUUUCGCCUGUGACGAGGCGUGAGUGACGGUAAUGGGUAAAGAAGCACCGGCUAACUACGUG